rnacentral:rRNA from 1 species
AUUGAACGCUGGCGGCAGGCCUAACACAUGCAAGUCGAGCGGAUGAAGAGAGCUUGCUCUCUGAUUCAGCGGCGGACGGGUGAGUAAUGCCUAGGAAUCUGCCUGGUAGUGGGGGACAACGUUUCGAAAGGAACGCUAAUACCGCAUACGUCCUACGGGAGAAAGCAGGGGACCUUCGGGCCUUGCGCUAUCAGAUGAGCCUAGGUCGGAUUAGCUAGUUGGUGAGGUAAUGGCUCACCAAGGCGACGAUCCGUAACUGGUCUGAGAGGAUGAUCAGUCACACUGGAACUGAGACACGGUCCAGACUCCUACGGGAGGCAGCAGUGGGGAAUAUUGGACAAUGGGCGAAAGCCUGAUCCAGCCAUGCUGCGUGUGUGAAGAAGGUCUUCGGAUUGUAAAGCACUUUAAGUUGGGAGGAAGGGCAGUAAGUUAAUACCUUGCUGUUUUGACGUUACCGACAGAAUAAGCACCGGCUAACUCUGUGCCAGCCGCCGCGGUAAAAC